rnacentral:piRNA from 1 species
UCGGAACCUGCAGGCACUCGUGGAGGCGUC